ensembl:lncRNA
GAUAUAAACAAGAAUGGCUCGGCCUUGGGUAGAUUAUUGCUUCCAGUUCUUCUCCUUGCCUGUAUCCUUCUCAGAUGACUGCCUGUUUCAUAUGGCUUUACAGUGAAUCUCACCAAAGGCAGAGUGUAUUUCUCUGCUCCACUGAUGAUACCUCACUUGGCCAUGUGACUUGCUUUGACCAAUGGGAUGUAUGUGAAUAUGAAGCAGGCAAAGGCUUGAAAUGUGGAGACUUGUGACGCAAACCUGAACCAGACCUGCAUCCUGGAGCCAAGCCCUGCCAAGUGCAGUCGUGACUAGGAGACCCACCGCUGCAGACAGGUACCAGACUUAAUUGGCAGCAGGAGUUCCUCCGUGACUGGGUGAUGCUGACAGUCAUUUCCGACCAGUCCUCAGAAGGCGUCAAAGCCUUCCUCACUGCACGGUGGCCUCAGGGCAACUGAAUGACUGAAGACCUCAAGGAUGUGUAUCCCACCUUCAAGAUCAAGGACUGAACCGGGCACCUGGCGGUGGAUUCACAGAGUUCUAACCUCUGGACUGCUAGGGAAGCCCCCUGCUGUAAAGCUUUGACGUGUAGGAGCAGGUGUGCGUGGCAGAAGAACACGUUUUCUGUAAACAAAAGGCAAAACAAAACACAGGGAAAAGAAACAACCCCUCCUCCACAUAAAUCCCAGAGUGAUUUAGAGAACAGAGUGGAGCAAGAGACCACGCGGAAAAGGUUGAGGGAAGAAACCCGAAACCGGAGGCUGGUUCCAAAAGAUGUCAUAGGAACCUGCAGUUGUAAAGGCCACAUAAUGCAGAGGUCUGGGUACUAUUGGGGUGGAGAUUGUUUGGGGGGUAAACUUCUUAGAAAAGAGAAUAAUAAAAUUUGACAGAGUUUUUCUACAUAGAAAUUAAAAGAUUCAGUAUGGCAAAAGAAAACACCAAAGAAGUCAAAAGUCAACAGUGUGGGAAAGAUGCUUGCAAUAAACAUAGCAAAGGAUUGUAUUUCAAAGAGCUUCUAGCAAAUGUGCAAGCAGCUUAUAAACAAUCCAAUAGAAAAAUGCCUAAGGAUAGUCCACAGAAAAGAAAGGGAAAUUGUCCAAUGAAUAUGUGGACUUUUGUCAUCUGGGAAAUACAAACUGAAACAAAAGCAAGCUAUCGUGCUUAACCAUUAGAUUCCAAAAUUAAAAAUGAUAAUAUCAAAUGUUAGCUAGGGUAUGAGGAACUCAGAUACAUUGUUGGUAUGACUGUAAAUUGCCAUAAUUUGUACAAAAGUUAUCUGGCAUUUUUAUUAAAGUUGAAAAUGCAUAUAUCUUUAACAUAGCUGUGUAUGCUUCUGACAAUAUAUAAAGUAGAAAAAAAUUGAAUAUAAAUGUAUACAUUAAAGAGCAUUUAUUGUGGCAAUUUUCUUAUUUACAAAAGCUAGAAAAAAAUCCCAAGACCUGUCAACAAGGCAAUGAUUGAAUAUUUAAAUGAUGAAAUUUUAGUCUAUCGAAUUCCAUGUAGUAAAGGAAAAUAACAAGGCAUAUCCUCUGUACCUUGUCUUGGAUAUCAUUCAGUAUAUAAUAAGAGUGAAAAAGUUACAAAAUAAUAUGAAUAUACAUAUUGUUAUUUGUCUUAUGAAUAGUAUAAAGAAAAUGAUAAAUA